rnacentral:rRNA from 1 species
CCCUUAGAUGUUCUGGGCCGCACGCGUGCUACACUGAACGGUUCAGUGGGUAAGGUAGUGCGAAAGCAUGACCUAAUCUCGAAAUCCGUUCGUGCUGGGGAUAGAAGCUUGCAAUUAUCCUUCUUGAACGAGGAAUACCUUGUAAGCGUGAGUCAUCAUCUCACGCUGAAUACGUCCCUGCCCUUUGUACACACCGCCCGUCGCUCCUACCGAUUGAGUGUUCCGGUGAGGCUUUGGGAGAAUGGCCUCAACAUGAGUUUAUCGUGUUUUGCCGUUUGAACUUAGUCAAACCUUAUCACUUAGAGGAAGGAGAAGUCGUAACA